rnacentral:rRNA from 1 species
AGGAGGGCGUGUCGUCUCGCAAU